UUGUAUUUUCCCUUUAUAUAGGGAGUUGAUUUAUUAAGGUUUAGAGGAUAUAGUGAUUUAAAAGUUGAUCAUGACUAUCUGUCCCACCUUAAGCUAUCUGAGAUCCAGUCUUAUGCAUGGAAAUGGGAUGAGCUAUGGAUUGUUGGGCUACUGAUGAAAACUGCAAGAAACAUGGAGUAUUUUUCUAUCACAACGCGGGCAGAUUACAAUGCUGAACUUUUACAUUAUGAAGUGCAAGAGAAGCAUUUCAAACAUUUAAAAAAACAUGCUAGAGAGUUGAACUAUGUGAUUGAGUUUGACUGAAACAUUCGCGACAAUGUUAUGUUUUGAACUUGUAAGUAUCAACUUUGAAUUAUGCCUUUUUCCUAUAAUCCCUUUAUUAUUGCUUUUCAUGUCAUUUUCUUCUUGCUAUUAAUGGUCUGGUAAUUAAAGUUUAAUAAACUAGGAUUCCUCGUGGCAGUUACUCUGAACUCACUGCUGCAUGCAUACAAGCAAUUGUUUGUGCAGUCUUACCCCUUGGCUUCUUUUGCAAAGUCGAACCUUAGGGCACUUGGCAGAUUGAUGUCUAAUUGUCUAUUUAAACUGUUUCAAUAUUAAUUAGAUUUGUUAUGAAAUACAUUGCGUUGAUGGUUUGCCAUUAUAAUGACCUUGUCUUGUGGGUAUUAUAUUUGCUUUCAGGUUGUGUAUCUGGAUGGCAAGUAGAAUUUUUGUUGUUGUCAUUCACAUUGGAGGUGCUGAAGAGUUUUGGAAGCAAGUACAAAUCAGCUUCAAUAUAGAAUAACUGAUAUGUCGUAAAACAUUAAGCACGGCACUGUCAAUGUUAUGGGGCAUAUAUGGAUUUGUGAAGUAAAAUUUAACUUGUUGUCUACACAUUUCUGUUCCAUUUAGUGUUUUGCUCAUUUUCUGCCUGAAACUGGAUAUGCUGAUCAAAGAACAUAAUUCCCCGCAUUUGCUUACAAUAGCAUAAAUAAACUCUCUCCUGUUA
rnacentral:lncRNA from 1 species